CGGUGCUCCAUUUUCCUGGGCAUAUUUUUACAUGAAAGGGAAAAGACAAAGUGUGGGAAAUGCCUGAAUACAAUGAACAGAGAAAGGAUGGAAACACUGGUAAAAAAAUUAUGAAAAUUCAAAACAAUGUUUUUCAAGUAUUGAGAAUCUCUGAUUACAAGAAUUUGGAACUAGCAAAAAUAUUUGUACAAAAAUUCUGUACAAAAUUCACAAAUGAUUUUUUGUGCAGAAAACUAGGCAGAAAUGUAUCCAAUUGUCUGGUGAUUAUGUGGAAAAGUGAAUAGUGGUAGUUAAAGAGCAUGUUCUAAGGAUUAUUUCUGCGUUUGAUUUAUUAAAAUAUUCCCAUCCAAACCCAAGUAAUGAAGGUAGAGGCAUUACUUUUCAUUCAACCCUCGUAGGAAUUGCUGAUACCUUUCACUUUAGCAUUCUGAUUUUUGACAUUUUCAUCUGUUCUCUCUCUUUUCUCUCCAUCCCCGCAAAAAAGGGCUUUAAAACUCCAUUUCACACUGGGCAGCGGGAAAUGGUGCACAAUGAGGUAUAAUAAACUCAGUGUUGAUCCUGGAAAACAGCUCCAUUGCACCUGAAACACAAAACUGCCUCUCUUUGGAUCUGAACCAAAGUGGGGCUAGUUUUGCAUGAUAAAUAAUCCAGGGACUUCAUGCAUAUUCAGCAGCCACAGUCUCUGGGUGCCACCUCCUCCCAAUGUCUUCCCUUUGCCAAUUAGGUAUUGCUGCCUGAUUCUAGUGCAAUAAUCAGGUAGCGUAAGGUUGGCAUUUUGAUUUCAAAUCAUGUGUUUAAUAUUAAUUUCUCUUCCUUCUCCGAAGCCAUCCUGAGCAAGGCAACCACGCUCUGGAACAUUUGGUUUGUCCCUUGAGCCAUUGCAACAAAACAUGGGAUGCUUUAUUACCUUCCAUGUGUCCUGAUUUGACAAGCACAGUCCCAACUAAUUUCCACCAUCCUUAUUUUCCAGCUUCUUUUUCAAAUGCUCCAGUUUUUCUCUCCUUAUACUACUGUUUGCCCCAUUUGUCCUCCACUUAACUUCAGUUGCUGUAAGCUGGGGAUGAAGCUACACUGAAGGAUUAUUGCGGUUUGACACCAUUUUAAUUAGCUCAAUACUACAUAGUCUUAUGUGUUGCAGUUUGCUGGAAGUUCACCAUACAAAUUGUGCACCAUACAUAUGUAUGAUGGAGAAAUGGUCUCUCUAGGAAUAGAUAGGUCUUCCAAUGCAUCUCUAUGGUUCACAUCUAGUGAAAGUCGAUCACAGAAUCAAGCUGGAGGAUCUACAACAGACCUGCACAACCUAUGGCCUUCCAGGUUUUGGGCCUACAACUCCCAGAAGCUCUAGCCAGCUGUUCCAAUGCCCAGGAAUUCUGGGAACUGAAGUCCAAAACACCUGGAGGGCCAUAGGUUGUCUAAACCUGAUCUAGUAAAGGUAAAGGUUUCCCCUGACCUUAAGUCCAGUCAUGUCCGACUCUGUGGGUGCUCAUCUCCAUUUCUAAGCCGAAGAGCCGGCGUUGUCCAUAGACAUCUCCAAGGUCAUGUGGCCGGCAUGAGUGCAUGGAGUGCCAUUGCCUUCCCGCCGGAGCGGUACCUAUUGAUCUACUCACAUUUGCAUGUUUUUGAACUGCUAGGUUGGCAGAAGCUGGGGCUAACAGCGGGCGCUCACUCCGCUCCCUGGAUUUGAACCUGUGACCUUUUGGUCUGCAAUUUCAGCAGCUCAGCACUUUAACACACUGAGCCACCGGAGGCUCUAUAAGCCUGAUCUAGAGAAAACUUAUUAAGCAAAUCUUCAAAUAAUCAAAUCC
ensembl:lncRNA